rnacentral:misc_RNA from 1 species
GCAAGAAAUUCAAAACUUGCAAAUCCUUAACUGACUCCUAUGAGCUCAAAAACUACUUGGUUUCCAUGUAUAGUGGCGCUGCUCAGUACAAUAAGCCACCCACAUAUCCUGUAAAUAUAAUCUGUAGUGGCAUAGAUGGAAGCUCAAGCACUGAUUCUGGGAAUGAUACACUGAGCAAAAUAUUUGCUGGUCUUUUUGCUUACA